rnacentral:rRNA from 1 species
GUGGCCCCAAGUCAGUGCGAGGCCCACCCGCCGA